UGGCUCUUGCAUCGAUGAAGAACGCAGUGAAAUGCGAUAAGUAAUGUGAAUUGCAGAAUUCAGUGAAUCAUCGAAUCUUUGAACGCAUCUUGCGCCUUCUGGUAUUCCUGAAGGCACACCUGUUUGAGUGUCAUGAAUCUCUCAAUUAUAAUCAUUUUAUGAUGAUUAGUGUAUUGGAUUUUGAGUGCUGCUGUUUUUGCCAGCUCACUUCAAAAAUAUUAGUCAUUUUAAAUAUGUCAGAUUGACUCAAUGUUAUAACAUUUUCAUUGGGAACCUGCUUCAUGCAGCUGAAAUAUUAAAAGGGCUCCUAAUCUGCCAUCUAUGGCACCUGACAUUUAGACCUCAAAUCAGGUGGGACUACCCGCUGA
rnacentral:misc_RNA from 1 species